UAAAAAGUGGUGUAGAGGAUGCAUUUGGGGUUUUGAUUCCCAAGGGGUAGGUUCAAGCCCUAUCUUUUUAU
rnacentral:tRNA from 1 species